GACGAACGCUGGCGGCGUGCCUAACACAUGCAAGUCAACUUGACUGAAGGAGCAAUCUGACAGUAGAGUGGCGCAAGGGUGCGUAACGCGUAAGUAACUUGCCCAAGGUAAGGAAUAACGUCGAGAAAUCGGCGCUAAUACCUCAUAAUGCAGCGGAUCCGCAUGGGAUAUGUUGUUAAAGGUUUACCGCCUUGGGAUAGGCUUGCGUCUGAUUAGUUAGUUGGUGUGGUAACGGCACACCAAGGCUACGAUCAGUAACUGGUCUGAGAGGAUGAUCAGUCACACUGGAACUGAGACACGGUCCAGACUCCUACGGGAGGCAGCAGUGAGGAAUAUUGGGCAAUGCUCGAAAGAGUGACCCAGCAACGCCGCGUGGAGGAUGAAGGUAUUCUAUAUCGUAAACUCCUGUGAGAGCAGACGAAAGACCGAUUAUUAAUCUGGAUGACUGUAUGCUCAGAGGAAGCCCCGGCUAACUACGUGCCAG
rnacentral:rRNA from 1 species